UACGAGUGGUCCAAGCGUUAUCCGGAAUUAUUGGGCGUAAAGGAUGUGUAGGUGGUUAUGUUAGUCUGGUGUCUAACCUCUGAGCUCAACUUGGAGACAGCAUUGGAAACGGCAUGGCUAGAGUAUGUUAGGGGUAAGCGGAACUAAUAGUGUAGGGGUGAAAAUCCGUUGAUAUUAUUGGGAACACCAAGGGCGAAGGCAGCUUACUGGAACAUUACUGACACUGAAACAUGAA
rnacentral:rRNA from 1 species